rnacentral:rRNA from 1 species
UACGGAGGGGGGCUAGCGUUGUUCGGAAUUACUGGGCGUAAAGCGCACGUAGGCGGCUUUGUAAGUUAGAGGUGAAAGCCCAGGGCUUAACCCUGGAAUUGCCUUUAAGACUGCAUCGCUAGAAUCGUGGAGAGGUGAGUGGAAUUCCGAGUGUAGAGGUGAAAUUCGUAGAUAUUCGGAAGAACACCAGUGGCGAAGGCGACUCACUGGACACG